rnacentral:lncRNA from 1 species
CCGGUUCAAAGGUCUUUAUUGAAAGGUCUGUAGAUGCCGUUAAAACGUCGCCUCCAAUACCGAAUCGUGGCUCCAUGGCAUCAGUUUUAUCCCAGUUAAAGAGAGUGAAUGACUGGUUGGACCGUGUAGUUUCAAAACGAGAUGAUCCUUUGAAAGAAAAGGUGGAAAGGUUAAAACGAAAGAUCUAUGGUUUUGUCAUUCAGAAUGUUGAUUGUUGAGUCUUUUAACUUCGACAACAGUGAUCCCGUUGUUUUAUUUCUUUCAACUUUGUUGAUUCUUUGUCAAAAAAAAAUCAUGUUUAAGGAAAUGUCUUUCAUUUAUUCAUUUAAUUGCCAUCUGCAUUAGUUAUCUUUAUCUGAAUGGAAAAUAUAUUUAAAAUGUAUAACUUCUUGCACAUCAUGUUUCAUGUUUUUCAACAAAAAAAUUAACAAAGAUACUGGUCGUGUAUUUUUCCACAACACGAACAAUGUCAGUACAACCUGCUACCCACCAACAGAACUUUAAAAUCCAGCCUUUAUAUUUUACCUCAAACUUUCUUUGCAUGCCUCAGUAAAAACGUCACUCUUCUUCUACAAAUGCUUCCAAACACCAUCACUUGUUUCUUCAUCUUUCUCUCAUGGCUCCACCGUGGGUUCAAGAGCUCCAUAUUCCUCAC